UGUGGGUCAACUUACACCAGUUUGGGAUAAAAAGGCUAAACCAUGAACAAAAAAGUAAUAAACAAAUGCUUUUAAAAUAACAGCUGUUCAGAAAUAACUUUCAAUCUCUGGGUUUAUCCAAAAAUAUCAUCAGACAAAAACAAAAUAAUUUUACAGACUUGCAGUGUGGCUUUUAUUCAAUUAUUUUUCAUACUGUGUAAAAGUACAACGGCUGUUCUUUAUGUUGUGGGUGGUACCUCGGGGUGUCGCUGCUCCCCCACCGGAACUGUGUUAAAUAGGAAGUUUGGCAUUCCCCCACUAGGUGCCAGUUUCCGUGGGAGGCCAGGGCGUUUGCUGGGCCCACGCCGUGAUUGUUUGUUUGAUUGUUUGGACCGUACAUGCACGAGGGUUUUAGCCGUGCUGAUCUGUGCUGUUGAGUUGGAACUGUGUGUGGGAUUCGACGCAUAGUGGCAUUGUCUCCUGCUGUCCUUGUAGUUUUGUUUUUGUUUAGUUAGUCCGUCCCGCAUUCGUAGCCUGUGCUUGGGAGUUCACUCUGUACGGGCGGACUAACUAGUUUCUUAUGUUUUUAAUAUUUGUUUGUUAUUUUUCGGGUCACUUCCCUCAAAAAACCUGCUUACUGCAGAGUCAGACUUAUUGAUCCAAUCGUGUGUGGUGUUUACGUUGCAGUGUUUUGCUGUGCGCUUGCGGUGCCUUUUCAAUAUACAGUAUUGCAUGUUGUUGGGUUUGCGGGGUUGCCCGUUUUACACAUGUUUUGUAGUGAAUUUGGAUCAUAGGCUCUUUGUGGGUCAGUAUGGUAGCAUGGGCUGUUGUCCCCUUAUUUAAUGAUUUAAGAAUAAAUAACGUAAACUUUUUCUUCUGACUCUGCUCGUUUAUAUCGACUCACGGUAACAUUUAGACCAGCACCUGGGAUUCUGCGGGUUGCUGUGGGGAUUAGCCCAAUUGGCUAACAGGAUAAAUACAACAGUGAGAACAUGUAAAUUUGAU
rnacentral:lncRNA from 1 species